rnacentral:ncRNA from 1 species
UUGUGCCCCUACGUAGAUGUGCGACGGAGUCCGUAGUGGGUGCGAAGUGUUUCAGACGUCCAUCGCACCGCAUGACAUGGUUCAUGCGGCCCGAACACGGGAGAGAACGCUGAGCGUUACGUU